CCGAUUUGCAUGACGAAUACUUAUGAAUGAGCGCCCAAGUCAUUCAUAAAUCAGUCAUCAAAUUUGUUGAAUGUGUCAUUUUCAAUUUCGGAGCUGAGUACCUUAGAAAACCCACUGAAGAAGAUAUGGCAGCUCUUAUUCACAUCGGAUGUCACAGCCCGGCCUAAGCUAAUAACAAUUAAGCCGGAGAAAAUGUGACUAGGGAAACUAAGUAAGAAAAUGAAAAAUAAAAGAGGUUUCAAUAAAAAUAAUUAUCCUGCUUAAACAAUACCAUAAUAUGGUAAUCAUAAACAAUCACUUUUAAAACUCAUGAGUAGACAACUUACAAUACACAAUGACAAGUUGUCUAACUUUCAAGUGGCAUAAUUCUCAAAGCUAUUGAUUUAAAAUCUGUCAACACAUCAAUAAAGUAGAAUAUACUAAGUGUUGCAGCAUAAUAACUCAUGUGGAUUACAUGUAUGAAGACAUGGAAUCCUGAGCCUGUUUUAUACAUAUACAUCAAAGAAUAUGCUCUGCUCGCUUCCAUCUGCACCACAUCACAGCUUAACCUGCAUAUUUAGAAAACAUAUGCAGGGCUAAGUACUAAAAAACACUCAAUGGUUACAUGCCGAAAUAUCUUAAAACUUGCUCUUAGAGCUAUAUAUUGAACUUGCCAUCUCAAGCAUCACACAUGAGUGUUAUUUAAAUAACUUGUGCAUGCAAAACUGUAAAACUUCUCUAUAAUCAUCAUAUACGUCUGCAGACAAUUAACAUGUAUGUAUCAUAUCUACGCGUCAUAUAACUCUGAGUGUUGAGAAGUAGGCCUCCUUCUCAAACACGAUGACAAGUUAACUCAAAGGUUUACUGUCAACUCUGUGUACACAAAUCCUGACUCGCUCAGGACCCGAAUUCGUUCUUUUAUGUGGAUGGUAUCAUACAAAUCUCAACUAUUGGCAAGUCAAUAAUUUGAAAAUAAAUGCAUACACUCAAACUUUAUAUAAUAAAGUAUGCAUCUUUGUUUCUUAAGUUAGUAAGCCCACCUGAUAUACUUAAUGAAGUAGAAGUCCUUGCUUGUUCACUUUAUGUUGCCACUCGAACCUUCAUUAUAAUGAGGUUCCCGAUGUAAGAUUGGAUAUAUAGACAAGAAAUAACUAGAAAAUAAUUCAUGAUUGAAACUUCUAUCUCUUGAAGCUUUAGGGUUGCAUCCACUAAUCUGAGUAUUCUACUUUUAUGGACUUAAUUAACUAAAAGCAAACAGUAACAUCAUAUCUCUUGUUGAGGAAGCUUAAGAGUAACUAAUCCAUUCCAUAUAGAUUAGUUUAUAGAUUAAUAACUAAAACACCAAUCAUUUAGCAUGAAUCUCUUCAUAACUUGCUCAAGUAAGGAAAUCUCAAAUAUGUAAUCAUAUAUGAAUCCCAACUUUGAAAUAUCAUAUAAAAUCAAGCUAUUCAAAGAAAAAUGCCUGAUUUACCUUUUUAGAAAGCAUUUAAAGUCUAUUUUUAAUGAAAAACUUACAAAAAUACAAUAUCUCAAGUGUAUAAGAAAUUAUCUCACAAAAGGCAGAAUCUGUCACAGAACCUUGCUGCUUGGCACACUACUUUUAAGAAAAUUGUUUGACCUAUCUAGAGGUCUCAAAUUCAGUUGAAAUUUUGCAGAGAUCUAAUACUCAUAACGAAAUUAUCACUGUAAAAAUUUCAAGUCAUUUGGACUAUGGGAACAUUAUCAAAAUCAUCCCGCAAGAUACUGUCCUGUCAAGCCAAAAACUGACAGCAAUGUCCCCUUGCUUCAACUUAACAUACAACUCAUAUAUCUGCCAAAUAAGGUUGUAGGAGCUCAAUUACAUCAUCUUAAUACAUACUAAAAUGGUUUAACAUAAAACUUAACUCAUGUUUAACACACCAACAUAUAAUAACAUGCUUGACGUCCCCCAAUUUCUAUCAUAUAAUCUCAUUUUACAAUCUCAAGAGUACAAUUAUACAAGCUUCAAAUAUAUAUCAUAUAUGGCUAUCUUACAUCAAGAAUUCUCAAAUCCACUUAAACUAACAUAAUCAAUCUCACAAACUAUGUGAUGUAAACUCAUAAUUUGUUCAUAUAUAAAAACACAUAUAUGAACUCAAUUAUUUAAGAACAUAAUCAUAACUCUCAAACUAAAACCUAGGGUUCAAACUAACUUGAGCAAAACUAAAAUCAAGUGAGAAUCAAUACAAUUAACCACCAUAAUCAUGCUUAGGAACAUCAAAAACGUAAUAUAUCUCAAUAUUAAAAUCAUACUUCAACUCUAGUAUGAAAUCCCCAAAUUUUUGAAAAAGAAGAUGAAUAUGGUGGAGAAAUUCUCAAUUUCGAUUGUAAAGGUUGCUUGGUAAUAAAGACUCAUACCUCAAUAUGUGUUCUUGAAUAAAUUCUUGUGUGAUCGAAGUGAUUCUUUAGCUUGAGAGGCAAAAAUGGAGGUUACGAAAAUAAGGGGGAAGAGACACGGUACUUUGGGGUAGAAAUAAAGAAGAACUGGGUUGUCUUGCCAUGUAAGCUUAAUCUCA
rnacentral:lncRNA from 1 species